UACGAAGGGGGCUAGCGUUGUUCGGAAUCACUGGGCGUAAAGCGCACGUAGGCGGAUUUGUUAGUCAGGGGUGAAAUCCCGGGGCUCAACCUCGGAACUGCCUUUGAUACUGCAGAUCUCGAGUCCGGAAGAGGUGAGUAGAAUUCCUAGUGUAGAGGUGAAAUUCGUAGAUAUUAGGAAGAACACCAGUGGCGAAGGCUGCUCACUGGUCCGGUACUGACGCUGAGGUGCGAAAGCGUGGGGAGCGAACAGG
rnacentral:rRNA from 1 species